rnacentral:misc_RNA from 1 species
AGAAAAAAGAGGGGUGCCCAGUGCCCAUCGCCGUCGCCCUCUUUCGAAACAUCGCAACUCGCAAUUUGGGAAUACCUACUUACUUGGGACUCUUGGGAGUACUUGCUCAGUUGAUCAUACAUACUUGCGAGAGUAGCAUCAUCAUAUUACAUAUGUGUGUAUACACCACUAAACUUGGGCGGCACGUAUACCUUUGCAGUUUGACUGCAGUGCAGUGCGCGAGAGCUGUGUGUUUUUGUAAUUUUUGUUACGCUUGUAAUGAUAAUACAUCAUAUGACCUGAAGUGACGAUAAAGUGCUCAGAAGUGCAUGUAGCCGCGAUCAUUCAUUGUUUUUAAUAGGGAGUCAGUUAUUAUUUCUUUUCGAAUGUUUUUACCUUCUAAAUAAACCUCCGUGGAAUCCGUGGAUGAUAUAAUAUAUAUACACAUAUAUAUUAUACGUAUAUACAACUACCUAUACAAGAUUUUUGGAGCAGAGGAGCGUCAAACAAUAAACGCCACCAACAUACACACAUAAAAGGGCUCACUGUAAGCUCAACAAGUUGGCUGAACGAGCUUUGGCAUCAUCAUCACCAUGACUGUCAUAACGAAGGCGAUUAGCGAAAAAAAGUCCGGGGACAAAUUGGAUCAGCCAUUGGUCGUCCCCGUAGCCCAGAGCCAGGGCGAGGACGCAGCUGCCGAUCCCGAGUCCCAGUACCCGAAAAGCGACUACGUGAUAAGGAAGCGUUUUCUCAUAAUCGGCAGCAAUCGUUUGUCCAAUGGCGUAACGACUUACUGCCUGUUCUUGACCGGCUUGCUGGUGAUGCUGAUCGGCGUUUUUGGUGGCCUCUGCAUUUACAAGCUCUACACUCGCGAGCAGAUGCACAAGUAUCGCACCGGCUGGUACACCAUUCCGUACGAUCAGUCCUUCAGGAUGAAGGAGCUCAGGCAGAACCUCCUCUCCGAUCCCGAUCUCCUCAAGGAGUACGUCAAGGCCAAGGAGCCGCUGUCCAUGAAACUGCAGGGCGCACUCUUGGCCAAAGACGACAAUUACUUGCAAGAGCGCUUUGAGAUCGACCUCGACGACGGCUACGAGGACAUUUACGUACCGGACUUCCGGGGCGGUAGACAGGGCCGCUUCAUACACGAUUUCAGCACUAAUAAAACUGGAAUUAUCGAUGUGGAAGGCCAGUGCUGCUUUGUUAUGCCGUUGAAUCGCCAAAGAGUCUUACCGCCGCGCGACAUUUUGGAUCUUUUGAAGAAAAUGCGCAACGGAUACUACGAGGUGGACACCGAAGUUGUUAGAGAAACCAUGAAAAUCAUUUUCCCACCAGUUACCGAUUACGUCUCCGUUGGACCGUACAUAGCUCGUGAAUGUCAAGAUAUGCCCACUUAUUUAUUGCAACCAGUUAACGAAAAAGUACGCAAGCGCAGUGCAUCUGACGAGGUCUACUGUCAAUUCGCUGGAAAAAACAUCAUACAAUUUGACAUCGUCAACUUAGCAUCUGUUCUUAAUAAGAAAAAUUAAUGUUUAAUUAUAUCGCGUACGUACGAGUAAGAAAGAAAGAAUUGGCGUAUUGAUAUAAUCCAGUGAUAGUUGCAUGUCAUUUGUUGCGUAUAAUUCUUCCAUUUCUGGCCGUAGACAAAAGAAAUCAACUCGCGUACGAUCGGGCUGAAUGUAACUGCGUAAAAAUUUGGAAUUUUUUUUUUUUUUUUUUUUGAAAAACCAUUAAUUUGUGUGAUUUGAGAUGCAAUUGAUUGAUCUUGUGAUUGAUGUGCGGUGUGGUUGAUCAAAGUAUUAAAAUAUUUGAAAAAUAAGCAAAGAGCUUCAACGCCUUUGUAUAAAGGCACGACUGCUGCGUUUAUCACCAAAGCAAAAGUGUCAUGCAGAAAAUUCUACCUUGUGAAAAAAAAAAAAAAAAAUUCUCAAAAGUCGAACCUGAGAAAACGAGAUAUCUACAAAUUUUUACGUAGGCAGUAAAAUUUAUUGUUUUUUACGUGUUACUCUUUUUACCGUGUGGUGACAAUAUAAGGCAUACCUGUCGAGCAGUUGUGCUUACUUGUGUGAAGCAGUCGUGCCUAAAAAUAUUCCUACAUUUACGAAUGUUUCGACAAAUUCUACCGUGCAAGGCGAUUCAUCGAUGCAAUUAUCAAUUUUAUGUUCCCCUAUGCCAAAGCGUGAUGUUUCUACAAAUACUUGCAAAAACUUCAUGACUCAAAAGAAGUUAAUUUCCUAUCAAGCAUCCAACUUACUUGAAAUUUCUGUUAGCCAUUAAUACAAUUUUACUUUUCAAGCGUGUAUAUGUUAUUUAAACUUUACGUGAAUUGUUUUCAAACGUUAUUACGAUUGAGCAGUGAUAUUUGAUUGAGUAAUUAUUUUAAAAAAUCGUAUGCAUAAUUUUUUACAAGUAAUAAUUUUAACUUGCAUCAGUUGGAUACUUGAUGUUAUUUAUAAGAGCAAAGAGUAAGAUAUAAGUCGAAUUUAAAUAGUUGUAGUUUAUACGUUUGCCGAUUAGAAUCUUUAAAAAUCACAAUGUUUAUAGAAUUCAAUUACAUGUAAUACGACGUUUGAAUGAUGGAAUGAAAAUUGUAAGUUCUUAUACAAGAAAUAAAUAAAAGUUGAAAAUAA